GCGGAGGGAUCAUUACACAAAUAUGAAGGCGGGCUGGAACCUCUCGGGGUUACAGCCUUGCUGAAUUAAAAAUUUUCACCCUUGUCUUUUGCGUACUUCUUGUUUCCUUGGUGGGUUCGCCCACCACUAGGACAAACAUAAACCUUUUGUAAUUGCAAUCAGCGUCAGUAACAAAUUAAUAAUUACAACUUUCAACAACGGAUCUCUUGGUUCUGGCAUCGAUGAAGAACGCAGCGAAAUGCGAUAAGUAGUGUGAAUUGCAGAAUUCAGUGAAUCAUCGAAUCUUUGAACGCACAUUGCGCCCUUUGGUAUUCCAAAGGGCAUGCCUGUUCGAGCGUCAUUUGUACCCUCAAGCUUUGCUUGGUGUUGGGCGUCUUGUCUCUAGCUUUGCUGGAGACUCGCCUUAAAGUAAUUGGCAGCCGGCCUACUGGUUUCGGAGCGCAGCACAAGUCGCACUCUCUAUCAGCAAAGGUCUAGCAUCCAUUAAGCCUUUUUUUCAACUUUUGACCUCGGAUCAGGUAGGGAUACCCGCUGAACUUGGG
rnacentral:rRNA from 1 species